rnacentral:rRNA from 1 species
GACGAACGCUGGCGGCGUGCUUAACACAUGCAAGUCGAACGCUGAAGCUUGGUGCUUGCACUGGGUGGAUGAGUGGCGAACGGGUGAGUAAUACGUGAGUAACCUGCCCUUGACUCUGGGAUAAGCCUGGGAAACUGGGUCUAAUACUGGAUACGACAUGUCACCGCAUGGUGGUGUGUGGAAAGGGUUUUACUGGUUUUGGAUGGGCUCACGGCCUAUCAGCUUGUUGGUGGGGUAAUGGCUCACCAAGGCGACGACGGGUAGCCGGCCUGAGAGGGUGACCGGCCACACUGGGACUGAGACACGGCCCAGACUCCUACGGGAGGCAGCAGUGGGGAAUAUUGCACAAUGGGCGGAAGCCUGAUGCAGCGACGCCGCGUGAGGGAUGACGGCCUUCGGGUUGUAAACCUCUUUCAGCACGGAAGAAGCGAAAGUGACGGUACGUGCGGAAGAAGCGCCGGCUAACUACGUG